CAUUUACGACGGCUGCUUCUCUGAGACAGAAGUUUCUGUGUGUGCUGUGUUGCGGGGCGCCUCCCCGAGCGUCCUCCGGGGGCGACCCGGGUCACGGGGGUGGCGCAGAGGCCGAGGAAGCGCUCCUGAUGGAGCGGUUUCUGUUUAAGAGGACCAGGAGUGUGUUUAAAACCUGGAACAGGCGGUGGUUCAUCAUACACAACAAUCAGCUUCUCUACAAGAAGAGGUUUAAGCGUGACUUCACGGUGCUGGCGGAAGACCUGCAGCGCUGUUCGGUCCAGAGCUGUUCGGACGCCGGGCGCCGCUUCUGCUUCCGUGUGGUCACGCCCACAAGACGGUAGACGGGCGUGGAUCAGCGCCAUUCAGAACCUGACUGAGAGAGAAGAAACAGUCGAGAGCGAGGUGAAAAAAGGGAACUGCUGUGUAAUUUAGUGAAUUCUUGCACUGCACAUGGCAGAAGACUAAAAGAAAUUUAGACCGUGUAGAAUAAAAGUAUUAGUAA